UUCUGUAAGUCGCUGUGGAUAAGGGCGUCUGCCAAAUGCCAUAAAUGUAAAUGUAAUGCGUCUCAAUUCGCCCACUAUCCGUCCUACAUAGUGUCUGAGAUUAGAAUUAGUGUGUUGUAGUAUGUUGAAAUGAGUGUCCCAAAAGUACCCGGAUGCUCGACGACUUUUUCCUGUACAUUUUCGAAGUGACACUUUUUCCGCUGAUAUUGCCCACAAUUCCUUGCGCGAGGGAGGACGAGGUUUGUGAGAGGUGUAAAUGAAAUAUGGAAAAAUAAAUCAAGGGAAUGGUAAAUUAAAAUUAUAUAGUAUCAAUUAUAUAAGGAAUAGUGAAUGAAGAAAAGCUGAAAUGUAAAUGAGGGGGUUGUUUACGGUGACAGUGUGCGUUACUAGGCAACAACGUUCUCUUCCGGUACCUGCACCUGCAUACUCUUUUGCUACACACUCACAAGCAUUUCUUGGAGGAGAGUGUUUUACCAACUUGGGGCUGUUCAGUGCUGGAACAUGUUGCUUCUUCAGACUUAGCAAGAACGAUUUUUCGUCUUUCUACACCAUCGGGGCAUCUCCAUAAGAAUAUCUCAAUCACUCCCUCUAAUCUUCUGAAAGAAGAGGAAUAUGCCUGGCUCAUGUUCUGCUGGUUUGAAGGGGAGGAUUUUCUUUGCUGGUGUUUGUGAAGGAAGGGGAGAAGAAAAUCUUGUUUGGUGAGAUGUUGCAUGAAUAGGCAAAGUGGGUGAGACUUUCACACUUUUUCUGUAUCUUUUUGGCUGUCUCUCUUUGUCCACAGAUUUAGUUUAUGCUAUUUACUUCCUCAUUCUAAUAUUUCCUCAUGAAAAGUAUUGGAACCCCUGUUUGGAAACCCCUUUCCUGUUCUAUCAGACAUUAUGGGUUAUAUUUCUAGGUGCAAGCCAGUUUUAUCCUGUACCAGCUCACUUGCAGUUUUCAUCAUCAAAAAUGAAGACACCUGUGCAGCACAUUAGAGGUUGUGAUUUGAAAUCUGCUGCCGCAGUGCUAUUUCCCAGCCAGCAUGGUCCAAAAUUGUACUUAAAUUGCGAGUUACUGCCUGUAGAGAACUCACUUAGCAAAAAUGCCAGGCCUAACUGGUAUGUUCCAGCCUGCAAGCAAAGGCUUAAAAUCCUGUUCCUUUUCAAGCAACUUGAUUUUUAAAACACCACAUUUUGACACUUUAUCUAAUAAGCUACUUCAUUCUACUGCUAACAAAAUACAACUGAGGUAAAUACCAAUCAGGCAGAGUAUUACACGUAGAAUAUCAUAUUAACAGAAUCAAUGAAAUGUUUGACAAACUAAUAAAAAAAAAAAACCUUACACAGAGACGAGGAAUCA